rnacentral:lncRNA from 1 species
CUGGGGAUGUAGCUCUGUGUCCCUGGGUUUAAUCCUCAGUACUGUGAAAAAGAACAAGAAAAAAGAAAUGUCCCCUUUCUUCUCUGCCUAACCACAGAUUUGAAUUACCUCAAAACUCACCAGAAAGCUUUCCCGGCUCACAAGUGAGUUACAAACUUAUUCCAGAGACUGGUAAAUGAGUGACAGAAAUUGAAGAAAGAAUGUGUUCAGGGCCAUAAAGCUGAGAAGAGGGGGAAAAAACCUAAGUCUCUAAAUGCUUGUGACGUCUUGAGCUAGAUGGCUAUAAAAGGUGAAGCAGGCCCUGCGCCUGACAGCCACAGACUUUUAAACACUAGUCACAGUUCUGUGGCCUCAUAGUCUUGCUGCUGGAAAUCAGAGAACAUCCUGUCCUACACUUCUGGGGGACAAAGCAGAGUUUUACCAAGUGUGGCUGAAUGGAGUUGGCCUCCUGCCCCUGCAGACCUGAUGUGGACAGGAACCCUGAAAUUGUCUUCAGAACCUUCCUUAGCCCCAGCUGCUCUGCUGGCCACCCCUCCUCACAGAGGAUCUUGCUGUUCCUAUGACAACACUGGCCCCUCUCAUGCUCCCCCUCCUUGCCCUCAAGUGGCCCAGUAGAGAGGUGCCUUCCAGAGCACAGAGGACUUUGCAGACUCUUUGGAAGCAAGGUGGUCCAGAGCACAGACUUUAGAGUCAACAGAGCAAAAUGCUGGCUCUGCAUUCUUAAGCAAACCAUUUAACCUCUCAUGCCUCAGUUUUAAAUAAGCAAAUAUCUAUAAUUAAGCACAGUUCCUAGCUCAUAGAAAGGACUGACUUAUUUUUAUUUCAGCUCUAAGUGCUAGGUUCCCAAGCCCCACCUAAUAUCCUAGUUUCCCUAAUGCCGCAUCAAGUCAGAGAAUCUUACUAGAAGAAACUCAGAAGUCACCUAAUAGAAUUAUUUUUCUCUAUAUGAUUUUCACACAUAUACAUUUCUAAGAAUGAGAUAAUAUGUCAGUAAAGUACUGAAUGUGUGCCUGGGUCAUAGUGAGUGCUUAACAAACAUUAGUGGGUUUUUUGUUUUUGUUGGUUUAUCUACAUAGGUAUUCAUUGAGCCAUCUGUGCAUCCAAUAGCCACUUAUUGAGUGCCCUGGGAAUUGCACUCUUAGUUUGACAGGGCAUUGCCCCAGGAGAGAAACACAUAACCAAAUCAAAUAAAUAAGCGAGAAAAUAUUUGAGGGCCUAUAUUUUCUAAACUGUAUUUUCUGUGUGACUAUUUUCAUACCUGAAGGGAAGAGAUUCACUCACUUCUCAAGGAUGAGUCAGAUUGCCACCCCUUCUCAUGGAGGAUGUUGCUGUUCCUAGGACAAUGCAUGCCCCUCCCUCCUGCCUCCAUUUGACCCAGUGGAAAGGCGCCUUCUGGGGCACAGAGGACGUAUUCAAGUAGUGUGGCAUUUCAAAGAAUGAAGAUAUGUGCUUUUUUCAAAGAUUAUAUCAUUCAAAAGUGCUUUCAAUUAUUUUAAAUAACUACAAGAUUGGCAAAUCCUGGACUUUUUUAAGGGGGAGGAUGUUUGGGAAAUGGAAGAACACCAUUCAGACUCAUGUAGGGUAGGAAAUGCCAUCUCUGGCUGUGCUACUCCAGAAUGAGGAGUGACAAGAAUGAGGACACCUGAUCUUGGGAGACAACCUGGGAGAGCCAGCUCUGAAAAGAAGAGCUGAGCCAGACACACCCAUCCCCAUCUUGCUAUGCCUCCCCUCCUGCAUCCUCACUCCCUGACAGGCACAGUGUCAUUUGGUAAGGGAGCAUAUAGCUUUAAUACAGGAACACAGACCAUUGCCAUCCAGGGCACUUGAAUCAAGUGCUUGUCUCUCCACUAAGAAGAGCUGCUUAGAGACUCGCCUCCAGCUGCUCCAACAUGGCCACGCCUAAGAACAGAGCAGGGAGGAAGAGCAUGAGAAGAAGAUUAACAUUAAACAGGGACGAGAGGUGGGAGGGAAAGGGAGAGAGAAGGGAAUUGCAUGGAAAUGGAAGGAGACCCUUAUCUGUAUACAAAAUUACAUAUAAGAGGAGGUGAAGGGAAAGGGGGAAAAAAAAACAAGGGAGAGAAAUGAAGUACAGUAGAUGGGGUAGAGAGAGAAGAUGGGAGUGGAGGGGAGGGGAGGGGGGAUAGUAGAGGAUAGGAAAGACAGCAGAAUACAACAGACACUAACAUGGCAGUAUGUAAAAACGUGGAUGUGUAACCGAUGUGAUUCUGCAAUCUGUAUACGGGGGAAAAAUGGGAGUUCAUAACCCACUUGAAUCAAAUGUAUGAAAUAUGAUAUGUCAAGAGCUUUGUAAUGUUUUGAACAACUAAUAAAAAAAAAAAC